rnacentral:rRNA from 1 species
ACAUAGCGAGGAAAGAAACCAACAGGGAUUGCCCUAGUAACGGCGAGUGAAGCGGCAACAGCUCAAAUUUGAAAUCUGGCCCUUGGGUCCGAAUUGUAAUUUGUAGAGGAUGAUUUUGGUGCGGUACCUUCCGAGUUCCUUGGAACAGGACGCCUUAGAGGGUGAGAGCCCCGUACGGUUGGAUGCCUAGCCUCUGUAAAUCUCCUUCGACGAGUCGAGUAGUUUGGGAAUGCUGCUCUAAAUGGGAGGUAAAUUUCUUCUAAAGCUAAAUACUGGCCAGAGACCGAUAGCGCACAAGUAGAGUGAUCGAAAGAUGAAAAGCACUUUGAAAAGAGGGUUAAAUAGCACGUGAAAUUGUUGAAAGGGAAGGAUUUAUGACCAGACUUUUUCUGGGCAGAUCAUCCGGUGUUCUCACCGGUGCACUUUGCCCAGUUUAGGCCAGCAUCGAUUUCCGGAGGGGGAUAAAAGCUUUAGGAAUGUGGCUCCCUCGGGAGUGUUAUAGCCUAUCGUAUAAUACCUUUCUGGGGAUCGAGGUACGCGCUUCUGCAAGGAUGCUGGCGUAAUGGUUAUCAAUCACCCGUCUUGAAACACGGACCAAGGAGUCGAACAUUUGUGCGAGUGUUUGGGUGUUAAACCCUCACGCGUAAUGAAAGUGAACGGAGGUAAGAGCCCUUACGGGUGCAUUAUCGACCGAUCCUGAAGUUUUCGGAUGGAUUUGAGUAGGAGCAUAAAUGUUCGGACCCGAAAGAUGGUGAACUAUGCGUGGAUAGGGUGAAGCCAGAGGAAACUACUGGUGGAGGCUCGCAGCGGUUACUGACGUGCAAAUCGAUCGUCAAAUCUGCGCAUGGGGGCGAAAGACUAAUCGAACCAUCUAGAGCUGGUACGC